rnacentral:rRNA from 1 species
UACGGAGGUGGCAAGCGUUGCUCGGAAUCACUGGGCGUAAAGGGCGCGUAGGCGGGGAGGUAAGUCGGGUGUGAAAUCCCUCGGCCCAACCGAGGAACUGCGCCCGAGACUGCUUCUCUUGAGUCCCGGAGAGGAAGAUGGAAUUCCCGGUGUAGCGGUGAAAUGUGUAGAGAUCGGGAGGAACACCGGUGGCGAAGGCGGUCUGCUGGACGGUGACUGACGCUGAGGCGCGAAAGCGUGGGGAGCAAACGGG